rnacentral:rRNA from 1 species
UGCCAGCCGCCGCGGUAAUACGGAGGGUGCAAGCGUUGCUCGGAAUUACUGGGCGUAAAGCGCACGCAGGCGGCUUGAUAAGUCGGAUGUGAAAGCCCGGAGCUCAACUCCGGAACUGCAUUCGAUACUGUCUCGCUUGAGUACGAGAGAGGGUGGUGGAAUUCCUGGUGUAGAGGUGAAAUUCGUUGAUAUCAGGAGGAACACCGGCGGCGAAGGCAUCUCUCUGGGUCGAUAUUGACGCUGAGGCGCGAAGGCGUGGGUAGCGAACGGGAUUAGAUA